UUUAGGAAAAAACUACAGAGC
rnacentral:piRNA from 1 species